rnacentral:rRNA from 1 species
GUUGAAACAUCGGUUCUCGUACGAUCACCGAAGUUAAGCAACGUCGAGCCUGAUCAGUACCUAGAUGGGUAACCUCUUUCAAGUACUAGAUACUGUAAG